rnacentral:rRNA from 1 species
AGACAGGUGCUGCAUGGCUGUCGUCAGCUCGUGUUGUGAAAUGUUGGGUUAAGUCCCGCAACGAGCGCAACCCUUAUCCUUUGUUGCCAGCGAUUCGGUCGGGAACUCAAAGGAGACUGCCGGUGAUAAACCGGAGGAAGGUGGGGAUGACGUCAAGUCAUCAUGGCCCUUACGAGUAGGGCUACACACGUGCUACAAUGGCGUAUACAAAGAGAAGCGACCUCGCGAGAGCAAGCGGAACUCAUAAAGUACGUCGUAGUCCGGAUUGGAGUCUGCAACUCGACUCCAUGAAGUCGGAAUCGCUAGUAAUCGUAGAUCAGAAUGCUACGGUGAAUACGUUCCCGGGUCUUGUACACACCG